GACGAACGCUGGCGGCGUGCCUAACACAUGCAAGUCGAACGAGGUCCAAGGGAGCUUGCUCCCUGAAGACCUAGUGGCGAACGGGUGAGUAACACGUGAGAAACCUGCCCUCGAGUGGGGAAUAACCCGGGGAAACCCGGGCUAAUACCGCAUACGCUCCUCUGGUCGCAUGGCCGGAGGAGGAAAGUUUUUCGCUCAAGGAGGGUCUCGCGGCCUAUCAGCUUGUUGGCGGGGUAACGGCCCACCAAGGCUACGACGGGUAGCUGGUUUGAGAGAACGAUCAGCCACACUGGGACUGAGACACGGCCCAGACUCCUACGGGAGGCAGCAGUGGGGAAUCUUGCGCAAUGGGCGAAAGCCUGACGCAGCAACGCCGCGUGCGGGAUGACGGCCUUCGGGUUGUAAACCUCUUUCAGUAGGGACGAAGCGCAAGUGACGGUACCUACAGAAGAAGGACCGGCCAACUACGUGCCAGCAGCCGCAGUAA
rnacentral:rRNA from 1 species